rnacentral:rRNA from 1 species
GUCUUAUUGAAAAUAAUUUUAAGUCGAUCUGCCCAAUGAAAUUUUUAAAUGGCUGCAGUAUAACUAACUGUACAAAGGUAGCAUAAUCAAUUGAUUUUUAAAUGAAAUCUGGAAUGAAAGGAUUAAUGAAAUAUAUACUGUCUCAUAUUUAUUUUAUAAAUUUAAAAUUUUAAUAAAAAUGUUAAAAUUUUUUUAUGGGACGAUAAGACCCUAUAGAAUUUUAUAUUAAAUUAAUUUUAUAAUUAAAUAUAAAAUUUAAUUUAAUAUUUGAUUGGGAGAAUUAUUAAAUUUAAUAAAUUUUAAUUAAUAUAAACUUUAAUUAAAGAAAAUUUAUUGAUCUUUAAUUUAAAAUUAAUAGAUUAAAUUACCUUAGGGAUAACAGCGUAAUAUUUUUUUAUAGAUCGUAUAGAAAAAAAUGAUUGCGACCUCGAUGUUGAAUUAAGAUAAAUUUUAAAUGUAGAAGUUUAAUGAUUAAGUCUGUUCGACUUUUAAAAUCUUACAUGAUUUGAGUUCAAAUCGACGUAAGU